GACGAACCCUGGCGGCGCGCUUAACACAUGCAAGUCGAACGGACUGGCCCUGCCUUUGACGGUUGUUCGAGUGGCGAACUGGUGUGUCACAUGUGUGUAACCUGACCUUGACUUCGGGAUCACUUCAGGAACCUGGUGCUAAUACCGGAUAGGAGCCACUGCUGCAUGGUCGGGGUUCGAAAGCUUCGGCGGUUGGGGAUGGAUCCGCGGCUUAUGAGCUUGGUCGUGGGGUAGUGGCUUACCAAGGCUUUGACGGGUAGCCGGCCUGAGAGGGUGAACGGUCACAAUGGGACUGAGAUAGGGCCGAGACGCCUACGGGAGACAGCAGUGGUGAAUAUUGCACAAUAGGCGGAAAUCUGAUGCAGCAGCGCAGCGUUCGAGAUGACGGCCGACGGGUAGUAAACGGCGUUCGCCUGUGACGAAGCGUGUGUGACGGUAAUGGGUAAAUAUGCACCGGCUAACUACGUG
rnacentral:rRNA from 1 species